AGCCUGGGUGACAAGAGGGAAACUCCGUCUCAAAAACAAACAAACAAACAAAAAACGAAUUUUUAUUUGUCAAUUAUAUCUCAAUAAAGCUGAAAACAAACAAUGUGAGUGGUUACUCUUUUUUUAAUAUUUCUUUGCAAUAGUAGACUUUAUCCUUCCUUCCCUUGCUCUGCCAUUUAAAUACUGUUCAGUGUGUGGAAGGAAAUGAAAAAUCCUGAUUAGCCAGUAGUAUCAUGAGAAGUUAUUGAGCACAGUGCUCUUAUAUGACACUGGAACUCAAGUCCUUGUCGUGCAUACCUGAAUCAGUUUUCUUUAAAACUGCAGUGGAUGUAGGUCUAAUUCACUACCACAAAUAUGUUGGGCUUUGCUCUUCAAAAGAAACCCAGAAAUACUUGUCUUUGCAAUCCAGCCACAGACAGCAUUAGUUGUGGGAAUCAGAGGUAUAUGAUUUUAGGAUGGAAAGAUUUUGCUGCAGGCAUGUUUAGAUUCAGUGUAAGGGGUGAUUUCUUUUGAUUUGUGUUAUUUGGGAUACAGAACUGAUGCGCUUCUUAUUCUUUCAUUGAGACCUAAUAGAAAGAUGGGUUAUAAUUGUAGAGAGAAAAGGAGAAUGAAUAACGUGGACCCGAAGUGUAUACUUGGAAGUCACGAACAAGCAUGAACUGACUUUUUAAGCUUUCCCUUCCAAGGGUGAAGACUUCAUGGUGUGUGUGUGCGCACGUGUGUGUGCGUGCACGCGCGUGUCUAAGCCCUGCCAGGAAAAUCCCUUGAGAACAGCCUCUGCUUCCUUUUGUGUGGAGCGUGGUCACACCCAGUGGCCAGUUAGGCUAAUCACACGUGUAUAUUCCCCGGGGAUACCUGAGAAAGAGCAGCCGGCCUCAGUCACUUCCUCCGGUGGAUGCCAGAGGCCAAUUUGGAUAAUAGCAGAGCCACCUUGUUCCUUUCCUUUGUUCCAAAAUGUGGUGCCUGGGUAGGAAAAAGCCCCACACCAUUCAUGAUGUUAACAAUAGCAGCAUUAACAGUCAUUGGACUCCCACCGAGUGUGUUAUUCUUUAAAUUAGAACCCAUGAAUAUAAUGAGAUGGAUUUUCACAGGAACAAGGGCAGGCUGAAACAAAGAGAUAAAGAAACUGAGGCUCAAUGAACUUGUAACGCUUUAGUGUCAGAGCUCUAGAAUGGGUGAAGGCCAGAUUCAGACCCAGGCAUCGUGACUCCCAAGUCUGCUUGUGGAUCCUUGAAAGCAAGGGUGAGCCAUAAGCAUUGCACCUUUGAGAGAACUGGUCAAGGCUCAAUUGGAAUAAUCUGGAGAAGCUUUUCUACAAUGUCUACACUCCAGGGCCCACACCUGCCAAUGAAAUCUGUACCUUAAACCUGAAGAGGACCAGGUAUCAAUAUUCUUUGAAAAGCAGCCCAGAUGAUGCAGCUAGGUAGGUGUGGGAUUAACAGCACAGCCGGGAAGUUUCAAAUUGGAAGCACUUCAGAAACUGUCAUAUGCGAGAAAGAUGGUAUCUCAUUCAGACCGACCACCAUUUCCCAAAGAUUUCUCCCAGAUCACUACUUCCUCAAGAUGCCCAGAGAACAUAAUUCUGUGACCAAAUGCGUAUGAGAAAUGCUGCCAACUGCUGACUCCUAUCUUUGAGACUUAUCUACGUAGUGCUUUUAGUGCUUUUUUGUUAUGACCUUGGCUCACUGCAGCUUCACCCUCCUGGGCUCAAGCGAUCCUUCCACCUCAGCCCUUCAAGUAUCUGGGACUACAGACACCUGCCACCAUGUCUAGCUAAUUUUUGUAUUGUUUGUAGAGAUGGAGUUUCACCAUGUUGCCCAGGCUGGUCCUGGUCUGAAACUCCUGAACUCGAGUGAUUCUCCAGCCUCAGCCUCCCAAAGUGCUGAGAUGACAGGUGUGAGCCACUGUGUCUGGUCUGUAGUGCAUCUUAAUGUCUCUGAGAAAACCUGUGACCAAGAAAACUAUUACCUCGGCUUAAUCCAGUAAUUUUCCAGGAAAGCUGCUUUUUUAUUUCAUAGCACCUAACACCCUGUGGACCUCCAGAAAUGGUGAUUCACGAUGAGGAGGAAGAGUACUGAGCCCUGUCAAGGGCAGCAUUGGGUGAGGAGCCUCUCAAUUACAUGUUAGGAAGUGAAGACACCCAGACCUCGGAUUCCAAUUUUGAUGCUUCAGUUUUAAAAUGGUGGGGGGUGAGGGGCUGAUGGAGAAGAGUCUUUAUGGACACAAAUGGACCAGGGUGCUUUGACCUUUUGUUCUGUGGUCUCCUCACUUAUUAGGUCACAUAACCUUCAGUGGGCUACAUAAACCUCUUUUCUCAUCUUUAGCAGAACAAAAAUCUGUGGUCUGGGCUUAGGGGCCAGUUGGACUGGGCUUUGGUCAUUGAUUCGCGCUGGUCUUUGAAAUGUGAGUGGAAGGGACAGACAGGUGUUGAGUCCAAGCAGAAGCCUUCGAUGUUCUUGUGUGGCUUGGCUCUGCCUCUGUGCUUCUCCCUCCUCCUUGAGAACAAUAUGCCCCACAUGGGAGCUGCUCCUUUAGCCAGGCCUCCAGGACCAGAGGACAAAUGGGGCUGAGCACAACCAAGCCCAGCUGAGCCAGGUCAGGGUUCAAUGUAGCCUGAACAUGAAAUAAAUGUUUAUAAUUUUAAACCAGGAAAAUUUUGGUAUAGUUUAUUAUAACAAACUGCAAUCUAUAAACCUGAUUUGGGUCUGAUUUAAAGAAACCAAACAACCUCUAAAAAUUAGGAGGUAAACAGGAAAACUUGUACACUGACGUUAAGAAAUUGAUGUCAUUUUUUUUUACAAGAUGUUAUAGGACUGUUUCACUUGUGUUUAGGUAAAGAAUCCUUAUCUUCAGUGAUCCACGCUGAAAUACUUAUGCAUGAAACGGUAUAAUGGAAGGACAGGAAAGUGGGCAGAGUCAUAAAUGAAGUAAGAAUGUCCAGGUGUUGAUAAUUAUUGAAGCUGGGUAACGGAUAAUUGGGGGUUUACCAUAUUAUUCAACUUUUGUUUAUGUUCAAAAUUUUCUCUGAUUAAAAAGCUAGAAAAUCAACAUUCACACAAACUCUUCUCCAUAGGUUGAAAAUAGGUGGAGUAUCUUGUUAGGAUUAUUAUAAUCUUUUAAUUUUAUAGCACUGCCAAUGAGCCAUCCCUGCCAUAAAAGAGUCAGCCAGAGAUAACUGGUGACUUCCACCACGUAAUUAUUAUCACCGUUUAUUUCAGUGGAAACUGCUGCCUGUUUGGAUUUGGAGAACACUAAGAAAGAGAAAUGAAGAUCUGGAGAAUUCAAAGGAUAAUUAUCCCUUUUGAAUAUUGACACACUUACAUGUUUUUCCAGACGUAGAUUUUGUGUAGGCGAAAGCUAUUUGAUUAUAAAAGAUCCGGUUUCU
rnacentral:lncRNA from 10 species